AAAAGAACUCUGAAGAGAGAGUUCAAUAGUACGUGAAACCAUAAUGAGUAAAACGGAUAACUGUACUGUUUUAGCGUUUUGCUUUUCAACAGUUUGUAGUGAUAUUCGACAGUGCGAGAAUUAGCUGUUUCUCAGCAAAAUUCGCGUAGGUAGAAUGUUGUCAUCAGCUGUGAUUUAGUGCAAUUCCUAUCAUUAAAAAGCUUUACGGUCCUGGCAGAGGUGUGCUGCAGUUCGCACUACGUGUGAAGUAACAUGCUGUGCUAUGUGGUUGUUGAGUUUGGCUGAGAUUACUUUAGUCCGAAAUGUUUAAAGCUUUUGUUACAUGUAUGUCUAGCAGACUUGUUUAUUCUGGUUUGUGGCGCUCAUGUGGUAAUUGUUUGCGUUUCAUGUUUAAUGAUCAAGUACUAGUUAUUCGACCCGUCUUGAAACACGGACCAAGGAGUUCAAAUGGCACGCGAGUCAUUGGGUGUAAAAAUCCAAAGGCGAAGUGAAAUGCGAGCGUAUUGUUAUUUGUGGUAUCCAUGAAAAAAUGAUAAGCUACUGAUGCUAUCAGGCAUUUGUAGACUACAAGCGUGUCGUUUGAGACCCGAAAA
rnacentral:rRNA from 1 species